CUCCAUUUCAACAAAAAUUGAUAGUAUAUAUAUAUAUAUCAAAUGAAAGCUCUUAAUGAGCUCUUUCUACUGGCAAAAGUACUGUCAUC